rnacentral:rRNA from 1 species
UGAGGAACAUGACCUUCGGCGGGGGAUAGCCGGCCCAACGGCCGGGUAAUACCGCGUACGACCACAUGGGGACAUCCCUGAGUGGUGAAAGCAGCAAUGCGCCGAUGGAGUGCCUCGCGGCCUAUCAGCUAGUUGGUGAGGUAACGGCUCACCAAGGCGACGACGGGUAGCUGGUCUGAGAGGAUGGCCAGCCACACUGGGACUGAGAUACGGCCCAGACCUCUACGGGGAGG